UAUACAAAAAUAAUGCAAAUUGCCCUGAAGGUCUUUGCAGGUCCAUAAAAAAGGCGUCAAGUCAUGGUUAAUGAUUGCAUGUUGCCCCCUGGCGGCCUCUUGUCAGAGAUUGCUGUCUAAACUAAAUUGAGCUUUCACUUUGGAGCAGCUACUACCCGAAACAGAAGGGAAACGAAGCAGGCGGGUGACCCGAUCCAAAGACAGGCAGAAAUGUGUUGCCUUGUCUUUUUCUGUCUUUGAUCCCAUUCAGUGCUGUGCAAUUAAGGAACCCUCGACUCAAUCAUCGUCUGUUUGCCUGUCUGCCUGGAUAACUGACCCUACCAACUGUGGCCAACCUUGCGGUGGCCAAUAAAUCUCUGGCUUACUCUUGCGAUUAUUAAUGAACGUUCGAAAAGACUACAUAUGACAACCUGUAAUUUUCCGCUGGAUUUUCUGACGACUGCAAAACGGAACCAUUUACGUCAUCUCUGGCUUGCUGCACCAGAGAACUACAGAUCUGUGGAUACACUUCCCUUCCCCACUCACUUCCCAAGGAAAAAGGCAAGGCGUCAACAGGUCAAAGUUUGAGUAGAGACUGAAGAAUGCAAUCGCUCUCUCUGUAAACACUCCCUCUCUCAGAGAACACAGUCGACUCUUAUGUGAUGGAGAAGAAAGUGUCGAGAGAUGCUAAUGCAAUGGAAUAACGAGAAGUUGUUGUACAUUUGCGUUGCGGCUGCUCUUUUAGAAACAAUAUUCCAAGAAAUGCAUUCGAGUGGAUGUCAAAGAUCGUGCACAAAUAGAUUUAAAUGCAUGUUUCUUGGCAGAUCUGCCGCAUUUCGAACUUUGCACCGAAUAUCUAACCUCAAUAGCAGCUUUCGAGCGGAGAAAAGAGAAAAAUUUGGCCGAAAGUUGUCAAACGGGCUACCAAAAAAACACACACACACACGCCGCUGACAAGUCGGGUCCACGAUCGGGUCUUGCAUUGUUU
rnacentral:sRNA from 1 species